UACUGCAGGUGCCAACAGACGGAAGGGUGGAGCCUGCUCCUCCUUGCUGAAGCUUCUCACUCUGGUGGUCUGGUGCUGGUGAUCUCGCCCGCCUAGAUGGAUUGGCCAGCGACUGUGUAUACGGCAGCGACGCUGCUGUGCUACUACACUUGUGAUCCAAUCUAGAAGCGUUGGUCCCAAGACUAUGUGAAACUAGCGAAGAAGCAGGAGCGGACGAGAACUUUGAUGUGUGUAGCAGCCCUACAAGCCCUUUCAACUAUGGUUAUCUAUACAUCAGGUGAUCUUAUUUUGUUGCUGGAACCUGUGAGAUAAAGUUUAUGUUCUUUCAACCUGUUUAUGUGCUUUGAACCUGCAAGAUACAGUUCUGUAUAAUGUUGUCUGAUAAAGUUAUGUACUUACGUGUGAACAUGGGAGAUAAGUUAUUGAGAUGUGUUGUUUUGUAUAAUGUUACGCGAGAUAAAGUUAUGUGCUGGUAACAUGUGAGAUAAAGUUUUCUAUA